rnacentral:lncRNA from 1 species
UUUUUACACAAACUGAAGUUCCUUAUAAAUUUUGGCAUGAGGUUAUUUAGUUUUUCGUGGGAUUUUUCUUCAUCAAGUUAUAUUUGGAAAAAUACCAGAUAGAAAAUUCUUAAAAUAUUUUGACAUCCUAUAAAUAGGAUGCUAUUGUAAUUAAAAGGAAUAUUCCAAUUUCAUAUAUGGUAUCAUUCGCUAGGUCGAUCGUGCAUAUGUUGCUGAUCGCUCCUCGAGUUCCUGUUGAUCGUGCAUAUCCGGCUCGAGUUCCUGCUGAUCGUGCAUAUCGCUGCACAUUCGCGAGUUUCUGCUCCGUGCAUAUCGCUGCACAUUCAUGAGUUUCUGCUUCGUGCAUAUCGCUGCACAUUCGCGGGUUUCUGCUCCGUGCAUAUCGCUGCAUUUCACAUGAGUUCAACACCAACUACGAUGACAAGCCCAACACCAUCUUCUUCUGUUGCGAAUGGUCCGACGAGACCGUUCAAGGUUGUUACGAAACCUAUUAGAUGCGUCCUUCUUGAGAAAGAAAAUUAUUUUUCAUGGGAGGCCCAAUUAUCCGCUAUGCUAUGCAGAUUCUGAUAAAAACUGGAGCCAGAGGUCGUGCUGACAAUAACAAAUAUUGAGCCAGAAUCCGGCAGCAGCUUCACAGAGAGAUUGCGCGAUUUCACGCUAGGGAUUUUCGCCCAAGGUGUUUGGGGAAAAUACCUAAAAUAACAGUCGUGGGGAGGGAGAAAGAAAAGAGGGAAAAUAGAGAAUUUGAUUUCUUGGUUAAUCUCUAAUUGAAAUUAACUUGGGUGAAAUUGAUUGAUUAAUAUAUUCAUAAUACAUCAUUAUUUAUACACACAUUAACAGUUAAUAAUUAUUUGUUUAACUAAAAACUAAAUGCUAAACUACUAGACUCGUGGGCUGGACUUGUGUUCGAUCCGAGUCCUAGUCCAAAACUGUUAACUGUGUACUUUUAAUGAAUCUGCACAAAUACCCAAGAGUUAUUAGAAUUAAUACAUAG